CCUACGGGAGGCAGCAGUGGGGAAUAUUGCACAAUGGGGGAAACCCUGAUGCAGCGACGCCGCGUGAGUGAAGAAGUAAUUCGUUAUGUAAAGCUCUAUCAGCAGGGAAGAAAAUGACGGUACCUGAGUAAGAAGCCCCGGCUAACUACGUGCCAGCAGCCGCGGUAAUACGUAGGGGGCAAGCGUAAUCCGGAUUUACUGGGUGGAAAGGGAGCGUAGACGGCAGUGCAAGUCUGUAGUGAAAGGCGGGGGCUCAACCCCCGGACUGCUCUUGAAACUGUACGGCUGGAGUGCAGGAGAAGUAAGUGGAAUUCCUAGUGUAGCGGUGAAAUGCGUAGAUAUUAGGAGGAACACCAGUGGCGAAGGCGGCUUACUGGACUGUAACUGACGUUGAGGCUCGAAAGCGUGGGGAGCAAACAGGAUUAGAUACCCUUGUAGUC
rnacentral:rRNA from 1 species